rnacentral:lncRNA from 1 species
GGGAAUUGCUCUGCAGCAGAGCACAACGAAUUGCACCAAAUGGGGCAACAGUGAUGAGUAUUAUGGGUCCAGAAGACUGAGAACCAGGCAGCUGCUGCUUUUGAGAACUCUGGGACUAGGAAAGGAAACCAAGCUUGAAAGGAAACCCUUCUCCAGUGAGUGGAAACCACCAGGUUGUUCUGCUGGUUUGUGCUGGCAAAUUCCAUUCUGGAAGGAUGGGCCAUGAUGGGCACAGCCAUGGGGAGGUUUUCCAGCCCCACCCAGGGGCACGGAGCUGAGGGUGUUUGCAGUCUUGCCCAUGCUGGACUGUUGAGUGAAGCGGCAUGCUCACACUGAACAGCUGAAAAGGGUUCUCCCUUAAAUAAAAUCUUUUCCUAUUUGCUUUGAAGGAAAUGCCAGACCCUUAGCAAAGGCUGAGUGAGAAUUGGGACGUCAGGAGACGGCGUGGCAGCCAAAGGAAAUGUCCAGCACCAAGGCCUGAGAUGGUUCAGCAGGCUUCAGGGGAUCCUCUCACCUGAGGCACCCGGAGUCUUCAAACUCGGAAACACAGGAAGUGGGACGGUGGUUUGCCAGCGGCUGAGGUGAGGAGGGGGGUGGGGAGUUCGUGUUUCAUAAGUGCAGAAUUGCAGUUUUGCAAGAGGUACGGAGUCCAACAGAUGGAUGGUGCUGAUGGAUGCACAACCUUAUGGAUGUCCUUAAUGCCAUGUUGUGAAGAGUGUGCUUAAAAAUGGUUAAGAUGGGAAUAUAUAGAUUCCGAAGCUUGGGGGGGGCUUUGGGGGGGUAUGGCACUGAGCAGGCCCUUUGGAGAGUUUGGGGAUGUUGCCGGGCCCCGUGGGAGUGGCUUGAGAUGGGCCCAGGGAAAAGCAGGCAGGUGUCCGUGAGCCAGGCCUUUCAUGCCCGGGCAGGGGAGGGUUUAGCAGGGUGUGCCCCAGGUCUCUCAUCUUGGGAAGAUCACCUACAAGCUGUGUGGAGGGGUAGGGCUGGGAUCAGGGCACCUGUUAGGAGCCUGUCCGGAAAAUGACCUUGAAGUUGUGACUGACAAGUCAGACAAAGCCAAAGGGCUCACCAGCUUUCAAUGGGGCAGUAAGGAUGUAUGGUCCUGAGAACCUGGAGAAAUAUGUUAAGAAUGAAACUCAAAAGUUCUUCAGAGAUAAGAGAAGACAUUUCUACAAUCCAGAGGGCCAGGGAGAUGCAAUGCCCCGUCCCCUGAAGCUCCCUGGCUGUAAUCUGACUUGAAAUCAUAAGCAGUGAUGACACGCAUUGAAGGCAGGCAGUCUCCUUCUUUCAACCUACGGUGACCCUGCGGAGCAAGAUACAGAUUACCUGCAAGAAUCUAGUCAGAUCCUGGCCAGAAUCUGGUCUGUAGAUAUCUGAGAUGCAGUUUCUCCCUAAGUAAAGUGUUUCUAAACUUCUGUGGUGAGAUUAACCUAGGGGUUUUCUGCCUUCCUCCCUUCCUCCCUCCCUUUUUCUUUUUCUCUCUUUUUUGGUGGUUUUUAUGACUGAACCCGUGGCAUAUGGAGGUUCCCAGGGUAGGGGUCAAAUUGGAGCUACAGCUGCCAGCCUACACCACAGCCACAGCAAUUCGGGAUCCAAGCCGCGUCUGCAACCUACACCACAGCUCUUGAAACACUGGCUCCUUAACCCACUGAGCAAGGCCAGGGAUGGAACCCACAACCUCAUGGUUACUAGUAGGAUUUGUUUCUGUUGUGCCACAACGGGAACUCCCUAUAUGUUUUCUUAAAGUUCUUGGUAUGAUUUUGUUAAGGUAGAUAGAUACUUGAGGUUUGUUUAGGAACACUUGUGGGCAGUUUUUCUACAUAGAAAGGAUUAUUCAAAAAUAAUGUGGGGGAGUUCCCUUCGUCUUCCACAGUGGCUGCACCGAUUUACCUUCCCACCAACAGUGCACCAGAGUUCUCUUUUCUCUACAUCUUCGCCAUCACUUGCUAUUUUUCGAACGGUAGCCAUUCUGACAGGUGUGAGGUGAUGUCUCAUUGUGGUUUUGAUUUACAUUUUCCAGAUCAGCAUCUUUUCAGAUGCCUAUUAGCCAUCUGUAUGUCUUCUUUGGAACAAUGCCGGCUCUCCCCAGUGGUUCUUGAUGCGCAACCCCCCUGUGAAUUACAUCCCAGCUGUGGGGGGCCACCUGCCCAUCACUGGAUAAUGCAGAACAGGUGCCUCAUUAGUCAGUCACCCCUCAGGCCUGGAGUCAGUGGAGGCUUUGGCCUCAGACUCCUGCUACUUGGAAAGGGAAGGCAGCCCUGGUCAGGAUGGGGCCCCUGCCCCUACAGGGCCUUUCUUCUGCUUGGUCUCCCUCUCUUGCCUGAUGGCUGGAAUUGAAGCUCCCCCAGGGGCCAGGCCUGGGCCACAUCCACAAUCAGGUCUCAGGUCCCCAUAUCUGGCUUGGCUCUCAGGCCGUGGGAGAAGGUGGUGGUACUUAGGGACCCUCCAGUUCCUCAUUCAGGGAGAGCCAGGCCUGCCACCUUCUUGCUCUCAAGGGGCCCUGUGUUGAGGGGUGCAACCAGGAGUGGGUGGCAUGUGGCUAUGUCCCUCUGGGGGAUGGGCCCAGUCACACACCCUCACACUGCACCUCAGCAUCUUGUUGGGAGGUCUUUGGGGGGGGGGGGGCUGGAUCAGGGGGAAAGCAGAGCCUUAAGUUCCUCGGGCCAUUUCUAGAUGAGUAAGUGGGGAAGGUGAGGAGGCUGUCAGGGGGUGAGAAAGGCCUCCGGAGCACAAGUGCUUCCUGUUCCUACCAGCAGUCACCUCUCCUCCUGGACCUCAGGCCCCUGGACCGUAGCAAGUGAUCCUUGUGAGCUCUACGCAAGUUGAGCUCCCGCUGCAGACCGCCCCUGUGCCCUUAAUCAUGUUUAAUUCUCAAAAGAGCCCUGCAAAACAAAAACAAAAA